GCACCUCCUCCUCCUCCUCCCUGCCGGGGUGAAACUCGAGCGCCCCACCCGCGCCUUGACCUCCCCGAGCCCCUCCCCGGGCCCCGCCCCUUCCCUGUACAGGACCCCCACCUUCGCUCCUGGGAGCCCCGCUGCACCCCAGGAGUUCCAUUCCAGCCUCCCCAGUGCGAGUGCGGCGGAACGCUGACUUUCGGGGGCUCCCUCCCCCGUCUCACUGGGUCCCUCUGCGUCUCCCCCGCCCGCUGUCCCGGCUCAGACGUGGCUGCACCCCGGAGGGGGGCGCCGGCCGAGACCUGAGACGUGGCGCUCCAGCUCUGCCGGCCUCGGCUUCAGUGCUUGAAUUUCAGCCACAUCCCUAAGCUGCCGUCAGACCAGAGGAACAGGGAGGGGGGCUUUCCGGAAAGAACAUCACCAUCACGUGGAAGAAAUCAGGACAUGACCGUGGGCCAUGAGUGACCUUCAAAGGAAAGCCGGGUAUCUCUGGUCUUUAAGAUGUGGUAAGAGUGUAUUAAAAUUAUAGAAAAAACCUCAAUCCAGAAA